UACGUAGGUGGCAAGCGUUGUCCGGAUUUACUGGGCGUAAAGAGCGCGCAGGCGGCCAAGUCAGUCGAAAUGUGAAAGCCCCCCGGCUUAACUGGGGAGGGUCAUUCGAUACUGCUCGGCUCGAAGACAGGAGAGGGAAGCGGAAUUCCCCGGUGUAGUGGUGAAAUGCGUAGAUAUCGGGAGGAACACCAGUGGCGAAGGCGGCUUUCUGGCCCUGGUUCUUGACGCUGAGGCGCGGAAAGCUAGGGGAGCAAACGGGGG
rnacentral:rRNA from 1 species